rnacentral:rRNA from 1 species
GGCGAAGGGAGCGGCGCGUGCUUGCCUCGGCGUUCUUGGAAGCCCUUGGGGGCGCUUACGCGCGGGUUCGAGGGCGGGGGAGGGGCGCUCGCUCGAGCACGGGCGUUAGGCAACCUUCCGUGGUCUUGUGGACGCUUCCGGGGCUGGCUAAGGUAGAGGCCCGGUACCGCCUGCACGUCUACCCGCCGCCGCGCCGCCUCUGCCUCUGCAAGCGCAAGGUCCGCCUCUAGUUGGUCGACGAGAGCGAGUAGUAGUUGUGGAAGAUGAGGUUGUUCCUCUAGAAGGAGGCGCUCGAGUAGAGGUUGAGUAGACUACGCGAACUGUUCUAGGCCAAGCUCUCGGACUGGCUGUUCUCGUUCGAGCUGCGCGUCGGCCUCGAGAAGUAGGCUGAGCAGGGGCUGUUCCGGUUGUUCUGCGAGAGGUAGUAGCUGUCACCGCAGCCGUACUGGUUCAGUCUGGAACACUUGUUGGACCCGUGGUAGCGCGCGAGGCCGUGAUUCCUCAAGUACCUCCGCGACGUCCGCCCCCGCCUGCACUCGUACUAGCCGGUCAAGCCCCAGCCGAAGAUGAGCCGGAUGGAGCAGCGGCUGUUCCACCACCAGUGGUGGUUCGUGUUGCUGCUGCUCGUCAUGCACACCCUCAGCGUCCGGCCGCCGAGGAAGUGGCAGUGGGAGCUGUGCCUCCCGCUCGCCGAGCCCGCGCCGUGGUUCUAGUGCGAGAAGGAGUUCCUGCUGGUCGAGCUCAUGGACCUCCUCGCGGCGGAGUUCCUGGAGCAGUUCUUCGUGAGCCUCAAGUAGUCGAUGGGGUAGAUGGAGACCUGGCUCUUCUGGUGGCUCUUCCUCUAGUCGCUGCUGCUUCUACUUCUCAGCCUACUCUUCUUCCUCCCGCUCCACCUCCUCCAGCUGCUGCUGAGGCUCUUGUUCCUGCUCUCGUUCUUCUUCUUCUUCUUCCACUUCCUCCACUCGGUGCUCACCCGCGUCUAGUUGUUCGUCUUCGGGUAGACCGACGCGUUCGGCCUCCUCUAGUCGUUCCUCCUCAUGCGCAGGAAGAUGUUCUCGUAGUGGUUGCUGACCCUCCUAGUGGACCGGCACUUCGUGAAGAGCCACCUCCCCGUCGACCUCAAGUUCCGCCACGAGAAGCACGGGGCGGCGCGCGGGAAGCUGGAGAAGCUGUGGGCGUUCUUCUACUUGUUGUAGUUCGAGAUGCACGCGGCGCAGAAGUAGUACCUGUUGACGCUCCUCGAGUAGGGCCUCACCGACCCGAAGCAGUUCCCGCAGCAGCUGAGCCUGCUGGAGGGGGAGUUGUAGAGGGCCCUCUGCGACGUCGUCUUGUUCUAGGAGUUCCAGUAGGCGUUCUUGGAGCAGUUCUUCACGUAGCUCGAGAAGAAGCUCUAGCGGCUCUUAUUUCUCCUGAUGCGGUUCAAGAUGCUCCGGAAGAGGUUCUUGGAGUUCGACCCGCACGUGCUCCUGAGCGUCUUGGCGCGGUUCGAGCGGCUGGAGGAGGCGAUGGUGAGGUGGUUCUCGCCGCUGCUGGAGUGGUCGGAGUUCCUGAUGCAGUGGGCCUACUUCCUCCCGGUCUUCCUGUAGAUGAUGUAGUGGCCGCUCUCGGCGUUCCGGCAGCUCUUGAGCGGGAAGGAGCUCGCGGAGUUCUUCGCGCCGAUGCUCCACGAGAAGUACCACCUGCGGUAGCUGCUCAUGCGGCAGCCCGUCGAGUUCCUCAUGCUGCCGUUCUUCGAGCAGAGGCGGUGGUUCCUCCCCGAGUUCGAGCUGCUUCUUUGACUUCUUCUUUUCUUCGCGUUCCUUCUCUUCUUCCGGCGGAAGCUCCCUGAGACGUUCUGGUAGUUCCUGUAGGAGCCGCUGUUCCACCUCUUUCAGCAGCAGAGCCUGGCGUAGCACCUGAGCGGCACGACGGACCACUGGCCGCUCAUGCCCACCUGCCGGUUGUACCUCGCCUAGUACUUCCGCGUCCGCGACUCCCUGUCGUCGUACCCGCGUAUGUACAGGAGGUUUUUCUGGUACCUCUAGUUGGGCCUCUUGCCGUAGUACCUCCUCGAGGCGUUCGCGCGGCUGCGGCUGUUCUUGCUGUUCUCGCAGUUCCUGGAGCACUACGACGAGAAGCUCUGCCGCGACGAGUGGAGGCCCAAGUCGGAGCUGCUGGGGUUGUGGAAGCGGCGGUCCUAGGUGGCGUACGAGUUCGAGCCCGAGUUGUAGCUACUAGUCCGGCUACGCCUCCUCCUCCUACGACUGUACGGGCGCGACCUCCUCCUCCCGCGGCUCCUCUCGUUCUACCUCCUCCAGCUGACUUCUUAAAGUCAAGUAAGGUUAGUCCUCCUCUUCUUCUACUCGUCACAGACAGGUACCACUCACUCUCACUCAGGAUCACCAGCGACGCACAGUUCCACUUCAAUCAGGCCAUCACAGUCACAGGAAGAACAAACUGAGAGCCCAGUUUAUAGUCACAGUGAUACACAGAAAACCGCUACAUACUCUACACUCUUGACUCCCUCAAACAAGGGACAUACCAGCUUAAGAGUUCUUUUUUUGUCCUCAAAAAUUCAGACUUUUUUAUGUAACGGAAGAAAAGACUACGAAAGCUUGACGGAGACUAGUUUAAACCUCUAUUAACUAGUUUAAGUC